rnacentral:rRNA from 1 species
GACGAACGCUGGCGGCGUGCUUAACACAUGCAAGUCGAACGCUGAAGCACCAGCUUGCUGGUGUGGAUGAGUGGCGAACGGGUGAGUAAUACGUGAGUAACCUGCCCUUGACUCUGGGAUAAGCCCGGGAAACUGGGUCUAAUACUGGAUGAUACAUGUCACCGCAUGGUGGUGUGUGGAAAGGGUUUACUGGUCUUGGAUGGGCUCACGGCCUAUCAGCUUGUUGGUGAGGUAAUGGCUCACCAAGGCGACGACGGGUAGCCGGCCUGAGAGGGUGACCGGCCACACUGGGACUGAGACACGGCCCAGACUCCUACGGGAGGCAGCAGUGGGGAAUAUUGCACAAUGGGCGAAAGCCUGAUGCAGCGACGCCGCGUGAGGGAUGACGGCCUUCGGGUUGUAAACCUCUUUCAGCAGGGAAGAAGCCACAAGUGACAGUACCUGCAGAAGAAGCGCCGGCUAACUACGUG